rnacentral:rRNA from 1 species
UACGUAGGCAGCAAGCGUUGUUCGGAGUUACUGGGCGUAAAGGGGUGUGUAGGCGGUCUUCUAAGUUUGGUGUGAAAUCUCCCGGCUCAACUGGGAGGGUGCGCCGAAAACUGGAAGGCUAGAGUGCGGGAUGGGAGAGUGGAAUUCCUGGUGUAGCGGUGAAAUGCGUAGAUAUCAGGAGGAACACCUGUGGUGUAGACGGCUCUCUGGACCGCAACUGACGCUGAGACACGAAAGCGUGGGUAGCAAACAGG